rnacentral:rRNA from 1 species
GAUGAACGCUAGCGGCAGGCUUAACACAUGCAAGUCGAGGGGCAGCAUGACACGGAGAUUCGUCAAAGUGUUGAUGGCGACCGGCGCAAGGGUGCGUAACGCGUGAGCAACUUGCCCGUUUCUGGGGGAUAACCGGUGGAAACGCCGACUAAUACCCCAUAGUAUUGGAUUUAGGCAUCUUUAUCCAAUUAAAGAAUUUCGGAAACGGAUAGGCUCGCGUGACAUUAGCUAGAUGGCGGGGUAACGGCCCACCAUGGCUACGAUGUCUAGGGGUUCUGAGAGGAAGGUCCCCCCACACUGGAACUGAGACACGGUCCAGACUCCUACGGGAGGCAGCAGUGAGGAAUAUUGGUCAAUGGUCGGAAGACUGAACCAGCCAUGCCGCGUGAAGGUCACGGCCCUAUGGGUCUUAAACUUCUUUUGCGAGGGAGCAAUAAGGUCUACGCGUAGGCCGAUGAGAGUACCUCGCGAAUAAGCAUCGGCUAACUCCGUGCCAGCAGCCCG